AGUCGACGGCAGCGCGGGGCAACCUGGCGGCGAGUGGCGAACGGGUGAGUAAUAUAUCGGAACGUACCCAAGAGUGGGGGAUAACGUAGCGAAAGUUACGCUAAUACCGCAUACGAUCUAAGGAUGAAAGUGGGGGAUCGCAAGACCUCAUGCUCCUGGAGCGGCCGAUAUCUGAUUAGCUAGUUGGUGAGGUAAAGGCUCACCAAGGCGACGAUCAGUAGCUGGUCUGAGAGGACGACCAGCCACACUGGGACUGAGACACGGCCCAGACUCCUACGGGAGGCAGCAGUGGGGAAUUUUGGACAAUGGGCGCAAGCCUGAUCCAGCAAUGCCGCGUGAGUGAAGAAGGCCUUCGGGUUGUAAAGCUCUUUUGUCAGGGAAGAAACGGCUCCGGCUAAUAUCUGGGGCUAAUGACGGUACCUGAAGAAUAAGCACCGGCUAACUACGUGCCAGCAGCCGCGGUAAUACGUAGGGUGCAAGCGUUAAUCGGAAUUACUGGGCGUAAAGCGUGCGCUGGCGGUUUUGUAAUUCUGACGUUGAAUGCCCCUGGCUUAACCUGG
rnacentral:rRNA from 1 species